UUACGGUCACAUCACGUUGAAACACCUGUUACCGUAUCAUCACCAAAGUUAAGCAACGUCGAGCCUGGUCAGUACAUUGAUAGGUGAUCGCUUGGGAAAACCAGGUGCUGUAAG